CUAAGUUUAUUUUUCCUCUUCUUUGAAUUUUAAGUGAAAUUCCCGAUUUUUCCCUAUCAUUUUGGAAUCCUGUUUUCAGAUCAGACAUAUAGUCCAAUCAAUUUUAACCGUUUUGCAUGAGGAUAAGACACAUGAACCACCUACCAUCUCUUCUCACCUGUUGAAAGGCAAAUCACCCAAACAAGAACAGCAAGAAUAAAAACAGCAAACCUUGUCAUUGGAAAAGCUCAUUAUGACAUUAAAACAAAUGUGGUGCUCAUCUUGCUCUGCACAUUUUGUUCCCUGUUGUGUGACAACAAGGGAGUGACCAAGUCUAUUUGAAACAUAUCCAUGUUAGGUGAUAAAAGUCUUAUGGCUGGCAGUCUUAACCUACUUCUGUCUGGGCUGAUGGUUAACUGACUGAUAUGAAGGAGGAUGACGUGGCUGUGAUCCUGCAGCAGAGAACCCAGGGGAUUACCAGGAUUUGUUCAGCAAAUCUCUUCAACAAAGGUGCCCUGACUAUGUGAAACUGUAGGCGCUCAAACCCUGGGUCUCCGCAGAGGUUGGAGAGAGCGUGUCCUGAAAAGAAUCCAAGAAACGUUCUCAAGCUGCGAUCUCCAGCUAUGAUUUACAGACAGACCACGAGUAACACUAUACCACUGACAGCUUGGCCUUCAUGCCCCAAAUUCCUGGAGUAACAAGCCUGCAUGUUGACAGUGAACCCGGCCUUGACAUGGAGGUGGGGGCUACACCCAUAGCCUUCUUUGCUUCUUACUGGAGCAUAUCACAUAACCAAAACCUGAGAAGCCCUGAAAAAUAUAGCUGAAGAGCCCCCAUAACACCAUGGGGCGACACUUUUGACUUCUGAUGUGUGUUAAUCUCAGCUCUCCGGUCUUUUGUGCCUGUGCCGCAAUUUUAUUUGCAGGUCCAAAUGUUAGUGUUGACCAGAUCAAGUCCUUUAACCUAACCCCCAGGGCCAACCUGUGGUUAUGUAAUUCCCUCAUGCUAGUAUCAGCAAGCUUGGCUGUCACCUACCUAGUCUAAGACUCUGAUAGGUCGCUGCCAAGGUUUACAUAACAAACGGGAGGCAGACCAAAGCUGGUGUCCUUACAGAUACGUAGUGGAAAGUUAAUUUUUAUAACACAAACAACAGAGCCAGAAGGUGUCUCCAACAAAAAUAGUUAAAUAAUCCCCAUGCUGAACCACACAUAAAGAAAAGGGGCUUUCAGAGUUCACAUUUUUUCCACGCAGCUUUUCCCGCUAAAUCAUUUUGUUUACAGUUGGCUUUCUUGGACCAUUAAUAGAUUAGCUGCUGUUCGGGAGCAAACUUAUGUAACUGUAUCAUUCUGCGAGCAUCUUAAAACCAGAUUGCAACACUCAAAAUAGGCCACCGUGUUUCCAGACAAACCGGUUAUGACAUUUGUUCGCUCCAGUUGUAGCACUUAAAGCAAAAUCAGAUGUUGUACAACCCUGUUAUAAAAUUACAGCAGGCAUCUGAAGGAUUAAAAGAGCCAUUUUGCAAAAUCUA